rnacentral:rRNA from 1 species
GGGGAAUAUUGGACAAUGGGCGCAAGCCUGAUCCAGCCAUGCCGCGUGAGUGAUGAAGGCCUUGGGGUUGUAAAGCUCUUUCGGCGGGGAAGAUAAGGACGGUACCCGCAGAAGAAGCCCCGGCUAACUUCGUGCCAGCAGCCGCGGUAAUACGAAGGGGGCUAGCGUUGCGCGGAAUCACUGGGCGUAAAGCGCACGUAGGCGGCUUACUAAGUCAGGGGUGAAAUCCUGGAGCUCAACUCCAGAACUGCCUUUGAUCCUGGUGGGCUUGAGUGCGGGAGAGGUGAGUGUAACUGCGAGUGUAGAGGUGAAAUUCGUAGAUAUUCGCAAGAACACCAGUGGCGAAGGCGGCUCACUGGCCAGAUACUGACGCUGAGGUGCGAAAGCGUGGGGAGCAAACA